rnacentral:rRNA from 1 species
UACAGAGGGGGCAAGCGUUGUUCGGAAUUACUGGGCGUAAAGGGCGCGUAGGCGGCCCGCUAAGUCGAACGUGAAAUCCCCGAGCUCAACUCGGGAACUGCGUCCGAUACUGGCGGGCUUGAAUCCGGGAGAGGGAUGCGGAAUUCCAGGUGUAGCGGUGAAAUGCGUAGAUAUCUGGAGGAACACCGGUGGCGAAGGCGGCAUCCUGGACCGGCAUUGACGCUGAGGCGCGAAAGCUAGGGGAGCAAACAGG